rnacentral:tRNA from 2 species
ACUUUCAAAGGACAGAAGUAAUCCUGUGGCUUUAGGAGC